rnacentral:rRNA from 1 species
UACGGGGGGGGCAAGCGUUGUUCGGAAUUACUGGGCGUAAAGGGCGCGUAGGCGGCUUGAAAAGUCGGAUGUGAAAGCCCGGGGCUUAACCCCGGAACGUCAUUCGAUACUGUCAGGCUAGAGUGCGGAAGGGGCAACUGGAAUUCCUGGUGUAGCGGUGAAAUGCGUAGAUAUCAGGAGGAACACCUGUGGCGAAGGCGGGUUGCUGGGCCGACACUGACGCUGAGGCGCGAAAGCUAGGGGAGCGAACGGG